CCUGCUCAAUGAAACUAAAUAGCCGCAAUUAGUGCUAAGGUAGCAUAAUAAAUUGCUCUUUAAUUAAGAGAUAGAAUGAAAGGAAGCACGAUUUAUUAAUUGUAUCAAAUAAUAAAAAUUAAAUUAUCUUAAUAUGUAAAAACUCAAUAAUUACGCCUAAUAGGACGACAAGACCCUGCUGAACUUUCCUUUAAGUUUCACUGGGGCGGUUCAAACCUAAAUCUUUCUAAAUCUAAUAAUUCACGCCAUACAUUAGAAUUAAAAUAAGUUACCACAGGGAUAACAGCGUAAUAAUUUUAUCAAGCCCCCAUAAAAAAAAUUGAUUACGACCUCGAUGUUGAAUUAAUGCUCCACUUUAUAGAAACAAAUAACACAGAAAGUCUGUUCGACUUAUAAACCAUUACAU
rnacentral:rRNA from 1 species